rnacentral:rRNA from 1 species
GAACGAGAAAGGGGAGCAAUCCCUGAGUAAAGUGGCGCACGGGUGAGUAACACGUGACUAACCUACCCUGGAGUGGGGGAUAACUGAGGGAAACCUUAGCUAAUACCGCAUAACACCUACGGGUCAAAGGAGCAAUUCGCUUCAGGAGGGGGUCGCGGCAGAUUAGUUAGUUGGCGGGGUAAUGGCCCACCAAGACAGUGAUCUGUAUCCGGCCUGAGAGGGCGCACGGACACACUGGAACUGAAACACGGUCCAGACUCCUACGGGAGGCAGCAGUGGGGAAUUUUGCGCAAUGGGGGAAACCCUGACGCAGCAACGCCGCGUGGAGGAUGAAGUCCUUCGGGACGUAAACUCCUUUCGAUCGGGACGAUAAUGACGGUACCGAGAGAAGAAGCCCCGGCUAACUUCGUG